rnacentral:rRNA from 1 species
AGAGUUUGAUCCUGGCUCAGAAUGAACGCUGACGGCGUGGUUAAGACAUGCAAGUCGUACGAACGAGAUUGACUUCGGUUGAUUGAGUUAGUGGCGAAAGGGUGAGUAAUGUAUAGUUAACGUACCCCGAACACUGGGAUAGCUGCGAGAGAUUUAUCUCUCUUUGCGAAAGUGCAGGUAAUACCAGAUAACAUGAUAGUGUCGAAUGGCACAGUCAUCAAAGGUUUCGGUCGGUUUGGGAGCGGACUAUAUCGUAUCAGCUAGUUGGUGAGGUAAUGGCUCACCAAGGCUUCGACGCGUAGCGGGACUGAGAGGUCGAUCCGCCACAUCGGGACUGAGACACUGCCCGGACCCCCACGGGGGGCUGCAGUAACGAAUCUUGCGCAAUGGACGAAAGUCUGACGCAGCAACGCCGUGUGUAGGAUGAAGCCCCUCGGGGUGUAAACUACUGUCAGGGACUAGAAAGAUGGACUUGUUCCACUUGAUCAAUCCCAAAGGAAGCUCCGGCUAACUUCGUGCCAGCAGCCGCGGUAAUACGAAGGGAGCAAGCGUUAUUCGGAAUCAUUGGGCUUAAAGCGCGCGUAGGCGGGAAGAUAAGUGUCUUGUGAAAUCCCUUGGCUCAACCAAGGAAUUGCUCGGCAAACUGUCUUUCUUGAGGCAAAUAGGAGUGUAUGGAACUCAUGGUGGAGCGGUGAAAUGCGUAGAUAUCAUGAGGAACGCCUGUGGUGAAAACGGUACACUGGGUUUGUCCUGACGCUGAGGUGCGAAAGCGUGGGUAGCGAACGGGAUUAGAUACCCCGGUAGUCCACGCUGUAAACGAUGUCUACUAGUUAAUGGGAAUUCUGACGUUUUCAUUGACGGAGCAAAAGUAUUAAGUAGACCGCCUGGGGAGUACGGUCGCAAGGCUAAAACUCAAAGGAAUUGACGGGGGCUCACACAAGCGGUGGAGCAUGUGGCUUAAUUCGAAGCAACGCGAAGAACCUUAUCCUGGAUUUGACAUAUUUGGAUGCCCUUUAGGAAACUAGAGUAAGCUGCCCUCGGGUGAAACUUAUACAGGUGCUGCAUGGCUGUCGUCAGCUCGUGUCGUGAGAUGUUGGGUUAAGUCCCGUAACGAGCGAAACCCUUAUUGUUAGUUGCCAACACGUUAUGGUGGGGACUCUAGCAAGACUGCCGGUGUUAAACCGGAGGAAGGCGGGGACGACGUCAAGUCCGCAUGGCCUUUAUGUCCAGGGCUGCACACGUGCUACAAUGGAACAGACAAACCGACGCCAAGCCGCGAGGUGGAGCAAAUCGGAAAAACUGUCCCUCAGUUCGGAUUGCAGGCUGCAACUCGCCUGCAUGAAGUUGGAAUCGCUAGUAAUCGCAGAUCAGCAUGCUGCGGUGAAUAUGUUCCUGAGCCUUGUACACACCGCCCGUCAAGUCACGGGAGCUGGUAGUACCUGAAGUCGGGUAGAUAACCUUUCGGGGAGUCGCCCGCCGAUGGUAAGAUCGGUGACUGGGGCUAAGUCGUAACAAGGUAACC